GACCGGAAGACUGUGAUGUGGUAUUCUUUCCAAGCACAUAUCCGAUUGCUGCAUGUGGAAAUCAAUGACUUCUGAGUUUUCCGGCU